UGCCUGGCGGCUUUAGCGCGGUGGUCCCACCUGACCCAUGCCGAACUCAGAAGUGAAACGCCGUAGCGCCGAUGGUAGUGUGGGGUCUCCCCAUGUGAGAGUAGGGAACUGCCAGGCAU
rnacentral:rRNA from 1 species